AAGCAUGCAAGUCGAACGGUAUUAUCGUUUCUAUUUUAUAGAAUGAUAAGAGAGUGCGAAACGGGUGAGUAACACGUAGGUAAUCUGCCUAUCAAAUUGGGAUAGCCAGUGGAAACACUGAGUAAUACCAAAUACGUACUAUGUGAGGAAUUGCAUAGUAGAAAGGGUACAUCUGUGCCGUUGAUAGAGGAGCCUGCGCUUGAUUAGCUAGUUGGUGGGGUAAGAGCCCACCAAGGCGACGAUCAAUAGCCGGCCUGAGAGGGUGAACGGCCACACUGGGACUGAGACACGGCCCAGACUCCUACGGGAGGCAGCAGCUAAGAAUCUUCCGCAAUGGGCGAAAGCCUGACGGAGCGACGCCGCGUGAAUGAAGAAGGCCGUGAGGUUGUAAAAUUCUUUUCUUGUUGAGGAAUAAAUAUUAUGCGCAAGUGUAAUAUGAUGACGGUAGGCAAGGAAUAAGCCCCGGCUAAUUACGUGCCAGCAGCCGCGGUAAUACGUAAGGGGCGAGCGUUGUUCGGAAUUAUUGGGCGUAAAGGGUACGUAGGCGGAUUAACAGGCAUUAAGAUAAAGCCAACAGCUCAACUGUUGUUAAUUUUAAUGAACCGUUAAUCUAGAGUUAUAGAGGGGAAACUGGAAUUCCUGGUGUAAGGGUGAAAUCUGUAGAUAUCAGGAGGAACAUCAGAGGCGAAGGCGAGUUUCUGGCUAAUAACUGACGCUGAGGUACGAAAGCGUGGGGAGCGAACGGGAUUAGAUACCCCGGUAGUCCACGCCGUAAACGAUGUGCACUAGGUGGUGGAUCUGCGAAGAUUCACUACCGUAGCUAACGUGUUAAGUGCACCGCCUGGGGAGUAU
rnacentral:rRNA from 1 species